rnacentral:rRNA from 1 species
GAUGAACGCUGACGGCGUGCCUAAUACAUGCAAGUCGAGCGACCGGACAAGAAGCUUGUUCUCUUGAGGUUGGCGGGGGCCGGGUGGGUAAAACGUGGAUAACCAACUAAUAAACCGGGGAUAAUUUCGGAAAACCGGGGCAAAUACCGGAAAAUAUUUUGAACGGCUGGGUUCAAAGGGGAAAAAGGGCUUGCCGGUCACUAUUAGCUGAUUCCGAGCUGAAUUAGUUGGUUGGUAAGGUAACGGCUUACCAAGGCAACGAUGCAUAGCCGACCUGAGAGGGUGAUCGGGCACACUGGAACUGAGACACGGUCCAGACUCCUACGGGAGGCAGCAGUAGGGAAUCUUCCGCAAUGGGCGAAAGCCUGACGGAGCAACGCCGCGUGAGUGAUGAAGGUCUUCGGAUCGUAAAACUCUGUUAUUAGGGAAGAACAUAUGUGUAAGUAACUGUGCACAUCUUGACGGUACCUAAUCAGAAAGCCACGGCUAACUACGUG